GACGAACGCUGGCGGCGUGCUUAACACAUGCAAGUCGAACGGAGUGGCGAACGGGUGAGUAACACGUGGGUGACCUGCCCUGCACUUCGGGAUAAGCCUGGGAAACUGGGUCUAAUACCGGAUAGUGUGGGAUGGGCCUGGGGCCUAUGAGCUUGUUGGGGGGGUAAUGGCCUACCAAGGCGGCGACGGGUAGCCGGCCUGAGAGGGGGGACGGCCACAAUAGUACUAAGGGACGGCCCGGACGGCAACGGGAGGCAGCAGUGGGGAGUAUGGCACAGUGGUCGGAAGUCUGAUGCAACGGCGCCGCGUGGGGGAAGACGGCCUUCGGGUUGUAAACUCCUUUCACCAUCGACGCGGUAGAUGGAGAAGAAGCACCGGCUAACUACGUGCCAGCAGCCGCGGUAAUUC
rnacentral:rRNA from 1 species